UUUUUAAUAAAGCUCGUUCGUAAUACAUUAGCAUCUCAAUUUCCCGAAUUGGAUUGACUCGGCGUAGUAGACUAUUCGCUGAGGACAUUUCGUAACAGAAGUGGCCAAUUUUGUUGAAGACAGUUAGAAGCUUCUAAUCUGAAAAGUCAUUCUUCUUGAUUUUAGACCUCAGAUCAGGCAGGAUUACCCGCUGAACUUAA
rnacentral:misc_RNA from 1 species